GAUGAACGCUAGCGGCAGGCUUAAUACAUGCAAGUCGAGGGACAGCACAGGUAGCAAUACUGGGUGGUAACCGGCAAACGGGUGCGGAACACGUACACAACCUUCCUUUAAGUGGGGGAUAGCCCAGAGAAAUUUGGAUUAAUACCCCGUAAUAUAGUUGAAUGGCAUCAUUUGAUUAUUAUAGCUACGGCGCUUAAUGAUGGGUGUGCGGCUGAUUAGAUAGUUGGCGGGGUAACGGCCCACUAAGUCUACGAUCAGUAGCUGAUGUGAGAGAAUGGUCAGCCAAACGGGAACUGAGAAACGGGCCCGACUCCGACGGGAGGCAGAAGUAAGGAAUAUUGGUCAAUGGACGCAAGUCUGAAACAGCCAUGCCGCGUGAAGGAUUAAGGUCCUCUGGAUUGUAAACUUCUUUUAUCUGGGACGAAAAAGGGCCUUUCUAGGUCAACUGACGGUACCAGAUGAAUAAGCACCGGCUAACUCCGUGCCAGCCGCCGCGGCAA
rnacentral:rRNA from 1 species